rnacentral:rRNA from 1 species
AUUGAACGCUGGCGGCAGGCUUAACACAUGCAAGUCGAGCGGAGAGAGGUAGCUUGCUACUGAUCUUAGCGGCGGACGGGUGAGUAAUGCUUAGGAAUCUGCCUAUUAGUGGGGGACAACAUUUCGAAAGGAAUGCUAAUACCGCAUACGUCCUACGGGAGAAAGCAGGGGAUCUUCGGACCUUGCGCUAAUAGAUGAGCCUAAGUCGGAUUAGCUAGUUGGUGGGGUAAAGGCCUACCAAGGCGACGAUCUGUAGCGGGUCUGAGAGGAUGAUCCGCCAAACUGGGACUGAGACACGGCCCGGACUCCUACGGGAGGCAGCAGUGGGGAAUAUUGGACAAUGGGCGGAAGCCUGAUCCAGCCAUGCCGCGUGUGUGAAGAAGGCCUUAUGGUUGUAAAGCACUUUAAGCGAGGAGGAGGCUACUUUAGUUAAUACCUAGAGAUAGUGGACGUUACUCGCAGAAUAAGCACCGGCUAACUCUGUGCCAGCCGCCGCGGUAAGAC